GCUCUCCGCGCGCCGCUCGCUGUACUGUUCUUAUAAUUGCAGUUAAUUCUGCGCCAUCGACCGGAGAUAUGCGCUAUCCGAUGCCUAUUCGACUAAUAGCUGUGCAUUAUUGUAACGAGUGUGCAUAAAUAUAAGAUUUUUUACGAUAAUAGGGCACCAGCUACUGGGAUUAUUGGCAGCUUGUUUUUGAUGAGCGGAUAACGGUAUCUUGUUCUCGGCACUCAUAUAUUCGUAUAUAAAUUGUAUGCGUAUGUUUUUUUUAUAAAUAUUGAAUUUAAGGAUUUUUUUAUACUCCAAACAAUUUUCUCUAUAGUAUAAGUUUGGGUUAUAUUUCGUUUUAAAUUAAUAUGCCUAGCCUGUUGACAGAAUAAGAUUGAGUAACCUAAUACAUGAAGCAAAAAGGGUCACGUAUUUGAUCUCCUACGGUGUCUAAAAUUAAUUCUUUACAAAGCAUUUAAAUUAACUUAAUCAAACUCGAAGCACCGGGUUGCCGAGAUUACCUCUCAGCAAAGUUAUUUUCUAACAAUUACUUGGUAAGUCCUCCUAUGAAACCUACGUACACGUUUUCGCGUAUAUUUUUGUUUAAAAUGGCUUCUGCUUAGUUGUAAGUAAAAGAUCCCAACGUUAGUGUUUGAUUGUAUAAUAUCGCUCGGUGCAGUGUCGCACAGGGGGCAGUGGAACGUCCCGUAGCGCCGGCCGGUCCGACGCGCCCGGCGCGGCCCGACGCGCGGGACACAGGUGUGCGCGACCGUGGGAAGCCUGCCGCCGCGCCGCGCUCCUCCACUACGAUUGAUCGGUGUAUCCACGAUGCGGUGCGGCACAGCGGUAUCAACCUAAUAUCUGCAGAGCGAGUGUGCACACUACGCAUUCAUUAUAAUAUGAUUGUCGCGCAGCAAAAAAAUAUAUUGAUUUAUUUCAAUAAGCUUGACGUCAAAUGAAACUUAAAGACAUUUGUCAUGUUCUACAAAGUGUAAAAUAAUAAACCGCGCUGCGUUAAAUAUACCCUUUGA